UAGGGAAUAUUAGAAAUGGACGAAAGUCUGAUCUAGCAACACCGCGUGUGCGAAGAAGGCCUUCGGGUCGUAAAGCACUUUUUGGAAGGAAUAGAAAGGAAUGUACUUCCAGAAUAAGUCUCGGCUAACUACGUGCCAGCAGCCGCGGUAACACGUAGGAGGCAAACGUUAUCCGGAUUUACUGGGCGUAAAGCGCGUGUAGGUGGUACGGUAAGUAGGGCGUGAAAGCUCCUGGCUCAACUGGGAGAGGCCGGUCUAAACUACAGAACUAGAGGAUGGUAGAGGGAGGUGGAAUUCCAGGUGUAGCGGUGGAAUGCGUAGAUAUCUGGAGGAACACCGGUGGCGAAGGCGGCCUCCUGGACCAUUCCUGACACUCAGACGCGAAAGCUAGGGUAGCAAACG
rnacentral:rRNA from 1 species